GUAUAACUUAAAAUGAAUGACACACAUUAAUUUGCAUAUCUAUCAAAAAAGAAAAUUUUAAAUUAUGGAAUACUGUCAAUUUAGAGGACAAAAAAAAAUAUUUGGUAUUUUAUAAUUUCCCUCCCUCUCUAUGCUCUCUGCUCUUUUUGCACUUGUACCCUCCAUCUCUUUGCUUUCCCUCCCAAAAAGCCACAACAGCAGCAAAAAAACAAAAUUCAAUUGAAAAUGAAAAUAAAAA
rnacentral:misc_RNA from 1 species